UACUCUCACGCCCAAAGGUUUUCGAACCGGAGGGACCGUGGACUUGGACGCCUUUGCCGCUUCACUGCGACACGUCUCAAAUGCGUUAGUAUGACCGGCUUGCGAAAGUGUCAUCUGGUGUGAUAAGCAUCUUCACCGGAGUUUCAGGGACCCUCUCUGAGGAACCCGCGCUCAGUUCGCCUUUGGUCGGCUGCCAACCGUCCAUUCUGGACAAACCUUACUUUGACA
rnacentral:misc_RNA from 2 species